rnacentral:lncRNA from 1 species
CCCUUUUUUUGGGGGGUGCUUAUUCACUUGAAACUGUUCUAAUACGCAGAACUUGAAAGUCCCCACCCACUGAGUGAUCUCUCUUCCUCAGAGUACGCAGAAGUUCAAGAGAAAGUGUCUCAGAUUAUCAACCAAGAGUCAUUAAUGGAAAGUACAGGUUUCAAACAUAAGCUGGAAAACUUGGAAGACAAAGGUGGGCCGUCUGGACUGUCUCUUGCUAGGGUCACAGAUUCCAAGUGACUCUCUCCAGGGCUGCUGACCAGGACGUGCACACAGGACUCGGUCUCCUCUCUCCAUUGGCUAUGACUAGUGUCUGUGCCAGCAGAUGACCUGCUUCACCCUGCG